rnacentral:lncRNA from 1 species
GAUCACCAAAAUAAAAACCUCGAUGAGUUCCUUAUAUAAGUUACAACAAAUCAUUUUUCAAAACAUUCAAUCAUCACUUUCUUGAACCCAUACAUAAGGAUCAAACACUUCCAUAUCAUAAAUAUGUUGUUUAUAUGCUAAAAACGCUAAUAAGUUUCAAGAUUCAUAGGCCUUUUGUACCUUUCAUAACCAAGUCACAUAAACAAACGCACGCAUUAAUAUUGAACAAAAAAAAGGCUGGCUUGGGUUUAUUUUCUUGAAUUUGCUUCUAGUUCCUGGACAAUAAACCAAAGGUGAAAAGAUCACAAAAUAUGAGCUUUUUCUUCCUCUUUUUGCGCUGAAAACCUACCCCAGGUGGCCAACUUUAUCCACUUGCAAUUUAUCAAUCCAAUUUAGACAACCUAGAAUCAAUUGGACAACUCCUUCCUCUGUGUUUGUAAACUGUAUGUUUUGACCAUACCAAAAAUGUUGAGCGAUGAUUAAGAUGACGAUUCGCCUAAAAAAAUGCAGUGAGAAAAGGUGGAGGACGAUUGAGAAGAGGAGAUUGGCGACGAUAGCAACAGCCUCAUUGCCUCAAGUGGUGGUGGAGGAUCCUUGUCGUUUUCUUCUUUUUUUGGUUUGAAUGUCAUGCUAGAGAGCUCACAACAGGGUGUUCAGUCAGUUGUGUAGAGGGCUGAUCCUUCAUCGAUAAUGGAUUGUGCAGGGGAUGAGGGGCGGGCAAAUGAUUUGGGGUUGGCGAGGUGGUUUGGGAGUUUAGAGCCUACAAUAUACUUGACUAAAUGUUUUAAUUAAUUAAUAAGAUAUUAUUCAAUUUUCUUAAUUUUUAAGGGUAGUCGGCCUAAUUUGCCCUAGAUAUAAUUUGGUGAAAAUUUGUGGUCGAGGUCCUAGACCUAUUGCUCCUUCUUCUUGGCAUUUAGGAGUCCAACAUUUCGAAUUUAUAGCACAUCGGUCCCGGGUGGAAGAUUUGUAUCUGUGACGCUGCUAAAGAUGUUAGAUUUUAAAAGGUAUUUAUGCCUUUAUUCUAGUUAAAUAAGAAAAUAACAAAGAGAAGAAGAGAAAUACCAUUUCCAAUUUCGAUCCAGGUAGCUUCCUCAUGUCACCCCGUUAGUGGCGGAUCCUAGAAAGUUGAUGAGCUAGGGGCAUUGACCAUUGAUUGUCGACAGUCAACAACUGCAAUAACAAUGUUGUUAAUUAUAAUUAAAUCUAUAAUAUAUUAAAAUAUCACAUCAAGGAAAAAUAACUUUUC